GGAGGGGUGCCGGAGCGGUUGAACGGGCCGGUCUCGAAAACCGGUAAGGGCCUUCGGUCCUUCGUGGGUUCGAAUCCCACCCCCUCCG
rnacentral:tRNA from 1 species